rnacentral:misc_RNA from 1 species
GACAAGAUUAGUCUAGUCGAUUCAAUUUAUUUCAAGGUCAUUUCAAGGUUUUACACAUUCGUUGUUAAUGUUAACAAAUGCUUUUGAAUAUACAUAUACAUGAUCUUCAUCAUCAAGACCAGACGUUAUAAAUCAGUCCUAUCAACCACAAACAUUUGUUGCUAAACACAACUGGGCAGACCAAACUGAUAGGGUACCAAUCCAUCACCUCAUUGUCUUAAACCCUUCAUCACCAUGGCAUCUCCACCAUUGUCUACCCUUUGUUUUGUGGGACCAAGAACAUUUGUCAUUGUCUGAUUGGUUGGACGGUAUGUGAGGGUACCUCACCUCUUUCUCUAAAGAGUCAAACAAAGCAAGGAGGCCCCCUUUCUUGGUUUCUCUUUUCCAUUCCAAUAAACACCACCUGACCCACCACCUACCGUUAUUUAUCGUUGGUUGAGUUAGGCCUGUCUGUUGUCUCCGGUCCACAAAACCUUAACAGCAGCAAACAAGAAUUGCAUUACCUGGUACCCUUUAUCUACUCUUAAUUAAUGACACUUAGCUCCUUAUGGGAUUCUUGUUGCUGUUCUAUUGGAUUAUGUGUGGUGCUUCCACCAUUCACAUUGACCUUUUGUUCUAGCUUUCAUAUAAGGCAUAUUGGUUCUUAUUGUGACAUAUGUACCAACAUCAUAAGAAUAGUAUCCUCCAUUUCAUAAAAUCAUGCUACCAUGGGUAAGAUGAAAAGACAAUGGACAUAAAGGGGGAAAAAUGGGAAGGGAAAGAUAGUUAUCAUGCAAAAUGGGGAUGUUCACAAGACUGAAAUUCAUAUUUUUCACUAGAAGGGAAUGUUGAGAAGCUUAACAUAUU